rnacentral:rRNA from 1 species
UACGUAGGUGGCAAGCGUUGUCCGGAAUUAUUGGGCGUAAAGAGCUCGUAGGCGGUCUGUUGCGUCCGCUGUGAAAACUCGGGGCUUAACCCCGAGCCUGCAGUGGAUACGGGCAGACUAGAGGUAGGUAGGGGAGAAUGGAAUUCCCGGUGUAGCGGUGAAAUGCGCAGAUAUCGGGAGGAACACCGGUGGCGAAGGCGGUUCUCUGGGCCUUACCUGACGCUGAGGAGCGAAAGCGUGGGGAGCGAACAGGG